rnacentral:rRNA from 1 species
AUUGAACGCUGGCGGAAUGCUUUACACAUGCAAGUCGAACGGUAGAGGGGGCAACCCCUCGAGAGUGGCGAACGGGGGAGUAAUAUAUCGGAACGUGCCCAGUCGUGGGGGAUAACGUAGCGAAAGUUACGCUAAUACCGCAUACGAUCUAAGUAUCAAAGCCGGGGAUCGCAAUACCUCGCGCGAUUGGAGCGGCCGAGAUCAGAUUAGGUAGUUGGUGGGGUAAAGGCUCACCAAGCCAACGAUCUGUAGCUGGUCUGAGAGGACGACCAGCCACACUGGAACUGAGACACGGUCCAGACUCCUACGGGAGGCAGCAGUGGGGAAUUUUGGACAAUGGACGCAAGUCUGAUCCAGCCAUUCCGCGUGCAGGAUGAAGGCCCUCGGGUUGUAAACUGCUUUUGUACGGAACGAAAAGGUCUCUCUUAAUACGGGGGACUCAUGACGGUACCGUAAGAAUAAGCACCGGCUAACUACGUGCCAGCCGCCGCCGUAA